GCUGGGCGUGGUGGCCACACCUGUAAUCCCAGUGACUUGGGAGGCUGAAGCAGGAGGAUCAUGAGGUUAAGGCCAGCCUCAGCAACUCAAUGAGGCCUUAAGCAACUUAGUGAGACCCUGU
rnacentral:sRNA from 1 species